rnacentral:rRNA from 1 species
UACGAAGGGGGCUAGCGUUGUUCGGAAUCACUGGGCGUAAAGGGCGCGUAGGCGGCUUGAUAAGUCGGGGGUGAAAGCCUGUGGCUCAACCACAGAAUUGCCUUCGAUACUGUAGAGCUUGAGACCGGAAGAGGUAAGUGGAACUGCGAGUGUAGAGGUGAAAUUCGUAGAUAUUGGGAAGAACACCAGUGGCGAAGGGCGGGUCUCUGGGCAGUAACUGACGCUGAGGAGCGAAA